UGUAAGUUGCCUACGUAUCAUGUCCCUCAUGAAUCAGAUCAGGCGUAGUUCUUGAAAAAAGUAAUGGUAAAAUAAAAACCUUUUUGAAUUUUCAUUUAUAAAAUUUUUUCGGUUUUCUGAUACAUUAUAAGAAGUAUGAUAACAAAAGACUAGACAAACUCUUAAGCCACUUAAUAGACUCAAAACAUGCGCAAAAUAUAAAAAGACUCCUCAAUUAGCUCCAAAAUGCAGUGGACCUGAGAUAUCCGUGAUGCUCGAGCAGUGGCAAAUGAACCCAUACCUGAAGGAGAAAAGUAAGACCAAACUGAUUAAAUGACUCGAGACACCAUGUGAGACUGCACCUCAUAUAGAAAAUAUGUAUGACAAGAUUGGGCUAUUUUUGAAAAUUAACCUAUAUGCCUGAGAGUGGCUAUUAACGCAAACCCAACGCAAUUGACCUCAGUGGCAUGGAAAAUGACUCACUAAGACUUUUAUGGAUUCAAACUCCCAAUAUCAUGCCCCCCCCCCCAAAAAAAAAAANNNNNNNNNNNNNNNNNNNNNNNNNNNNNNNNNNNNNNNNNNNNNNNNNNNNNNNNNNNNNNNNNNNNNNNNNNNNNNNNNCCCCCCCCAAAAAAAAAAAUUAAUUUGUAGAAAUAACCCAUUUCGCAAAAACGACCAAUAUGGCCAGAAGUGCCUAAAGAUGCAGACUCAAAAAGAACGAGCCUUAAAGUAAUAUGACACCUACUUGUAAACUCAAAAUUCUAAGACAUGGGUAAUUGAACCACUUUUGCAAAAUGACACUAUUUUGCAAGAAUAGCCGAUGUGGCCAAAAGUGGCUAGACAUGCAAGAUUUGGCUAAGACUCCGCAAAGUCAAGAACCUAAGACACUAGGAAGACCAGACCCUAUGUGGGUUGCCUACGUAUCUCGCUCGAAUGGACGAUAAUCAGGUUCGCGUAGUUCGGGAAGAUUAAAUAUAUGAUAGAAUUUAAAAAAUGCAUCUAAUUUGAAAUAAAAACUAUUUUUGGUCUUUUUUGAAAAAAUGAUGGAAAGUGCAAAAUCUUUUUGGAUUUUUUCAUUUUCUACUUUCUUUGAGUUUUUGGAUAAUAAUGGAAAAGAAUAAAAUUUUUUGGAUUCUCAUUUUCUACUUGUUGAAUUUUUUAAAAUUAAUGAAAAAGUGUAAAAUCUUUUUUGGAUUUUUCAUUUUCUACUUUUUUUGAAUUUUUAAAAAAUAAUGGAAAAGUGUAAAAUCUUUUGGAUUUUUUCAUUUUCUACUUUUUUUGAGUUUUUGGAAAAUAAUGGAAAAGUAUAAAAUGAUUUUUGGAUUUUUCAUUUUCUACUUUUUUUUUUUGAAUUUUUGAAAAAUAAUUGAAGAGUGUAAAAUCUUUUUGGAUUUUCUCACUUUCAUCAUUUUUUUUAAUUUUUGGGAAACCAUAUGCGGGUGGGUCCUACUUUCUUCAUUUUUACCCUUCUUUCCCAAAAAUUGGUCCGCCAAAUGACCUUUUUACCCUCAAAGAUGCAACAUUUAGCACAUAGGAUGAUUAAAUGUCAUUUUGGGUCACAGACCCAUUUUAACAAAAUUUGGACAGGUUCCUUACAAAGGGACACAGUACCUGGGACCGAGUACUACUAGGUGUGAAUGACAUGUUGCGAAUAAAAUGACCUAAAGGUUGACAUAAGUCUGGGGUUCACUAACAAGGCAAUUCGGGUGGCACGUGGUCGAUGGUGGCUGGUCUAGCUGUCCGCCCACUCCACGCUCCCACGCCACCCCUCUAAAGACACGGGUGACUCACAAAAAGGCCGUGUACGCUCAAACGUACUCCGGAAGACUAGUUGCAGAAAUAAGACUCAUGGUUAUGCAAAAUGAUGACAAUUUAUAAAGCACUAACACAUAAAGGAAAAACUGUAAGCAAAUAAGCAGCUAGCAAAUAAUAAAAAGACAUGAAUAAAAUAAAAAUCAAAUAAAACAAACAAAACACAUAAAAACAUCAACCAAAAAUCCUAAAGGCCAACAAGAUCAAGUACUAGCUCGAACCGGCAAUUCCCCCAGCAUAGUCGCCAGAGAUGUCGUACCCUAUUUUUAAAACAAAGUCUCACAAAAACCCUCUUAAAUUAAUAAAAGAAUUUAAUAAAAGCUUGAAAAGGGUUUUUCAUUGAGAACGUGACAAAAAUUUGUUUCAAAAGGAAAUAAACUCAGAGUCGCCACCUGACAUUUGAUUUCGGGGAGAAGGUGUUAAGCACUCCCCAAGUCCCGUGAAGGUCACAGUUGCAUACUCGAUCAAGUUGGCUUUUAAGAUAUUCAAAUUGAGGUAAAAGCACACAAAAAGAAAAUAAACAGUCAAAAGAGGCUCGAGGGCACCAGAGAUUGGGGUAAGGGGCUCAUUUGACUCGCGGAGAAGGUGUUAAGCACUCCCCAAGUCCCGUGAAGGUCACAGUUGCAUACUCGAUCAAGUUGGCUUUUAAGAUAUUCAAAUUGAGGUAAAAGCACACAAAAGGAAUAUAAACAGUCAAAAGAGGCUCGAGGUCGUCCCCACCUAACAAAACGAAAAUAAAAUACUAUUCUAUGCUUCCUCGAACCGUUCCGUCUUCGGCUUUCAAAUAUAAAUACUUUGGGGCAAUACCCCAGAUAAAAUAUAUACAAAUCCUUCGGGGCAUUCCCCGAAUAAAUUUAACUAAGGAACGACCUCUCGCUUGAAACUAACAAAAAUCCUAAAACUUGCUUACCCAAGUAUUGACGGCCUAAAUAUGCUCCUAACGAAUAAUAUGACAAAGUAAAAUAGUUUCUAGAAAAAACUAACGCAUGUAAACAAUUAUUUAUUUUGUCUCUUUCCCAUCCCUACGGCCCAAUAUCAUUCACAACAAUUUUUAAACUGUCCACACAAAACAAACAACUAGACAAAAACAUCUAAAGCACACUAAGAUAAAGAACAAUAACAGUGUAGCAUAAUUGAUAAGUAGAUAAAAAAUAUGAUGUUGGCUCAUUGGAUAAAAAUACUCUUAGAAAGAAGAUUUCAUAAUGAAAAUGAAUGGUUCAAACUUGCCAAAACGUUUUCUGGAAUCUCAAACAAGAGACCAAGAGUAAAUAAAAAUUUGACGGAACAGGAUUAAAAAAUAAUUGGACUAAACUUAACUAAAAAUUAACCCAACAGCUUCGUUGGUGUUUCAGCAAAGAUAGUAAGACUAAUAGGAAUGAGCCAACAUCAUAUUUUGAAAUCACACAUAACUAGAGUUAUAACAAGAGAAGGAAAAGAUUAUGGACCUUAUAUAAAUCUUUCAAUUGAUGAAAAUUUUCAGCAAAUUGCAACAGACAGGACAGCGCAGCUACAAGCAAAAUCCAAAACUGCAAUCAAAAUCGAACGGAAUUACGAGCCACCUUCGACUCGGCAUCUCAGCUCUAAUGAAGAUGACGUUGCCUGUUUUGGAUAUCGACAGUGCACAUGACCACGAUCGGAGAACACUCGUUGGUCACUUCAACGGAAAAUUCUAACUUCAGUCAAGCUACCCUAAGUUCUCGCCUCAAUUUCUGUUCGAACCCCCCAUUUCGUUUAUCCUUUUUAGCUGCUGGUGGUUGACAUUUGGUGGUGUGAAGUGGAGAAAUAGCAGUGGCUAUUAUGUGUGUGUGCGGGGUGGCGUCAGGAAGAGGACAGGUGGAGGUUGUUUUGGUUGGUGAAGGUUUAGGGUCGCUGGUUAUUGUGUGUUCGACGUGAGUGCUGGUCGUUUUUGUGUGGGUGACGGCGGCUCUCUAGGUUAUGAGUGUGUAUUGUCUUAGAAGAAGACUAGGUUUUUAAUACUUCUCAAGAUAAAAAUCUGAUGGGUUCAUAGGUUUUUUGGCUUGGGUCACAGGUCUAUAGGCUACUUGGGCUAAGGGGGUUUGGGUU
rnacentral:lncRNA from 1 species